rnacentral:rRNA from 1 species
UACGAGUGCCCUAAGCGUUAUCCGGAAUCAUUGGGCGUAAAGGGUGUGUAGGUGGUUGUGUUAGUCUUGUGUUAAAUUCUUCGGCUUAACCGGGGGCAUGCAUGGGAAACGGCACAACUAGAGGAUGCGAGAGGUGAAUGGAACUCAUGGAGUAGGGGUGAAAUCCGUUGAUAUCAUGGGGAACACCAAAUGCGAAGGCAAUUCACUGGCGCACUUCCUGACACUGAGACACGAAAGCGUAGGUAGCGAAUGGG